rnacentral:rRNA from 1 species
GAUGAACGCUGGCGGCGUGCCUAAUACAUGCAAGUCGAGCGAACGGACGAGAAGCUUGCUUCUCUGAUGUUAGCGGCGGACGGGUGAGUAACACGUGGAUAACCUACCAAUAAGACUGGGAUAACUUCGGGAAACCGGAGCUAAUACCGGAUAAUAUUUUGAACCGCAUGGUUCAAAAGUGAAAGACGGUCUUGCUGUCACUUAUAGAUGGAUCCGCGCUGCAUUAGCUAGUUGGUAAGGUAACGGCUUACCAAGGCAAGGAUGCAUAGCCGACCUGAGAGGGUGAUCGGCCACACUGGAACUGAGACACGGUCCAGACUCCUACGGGAGGCAGCAGUAGGGAAUCUUCCGCAAUGGGCGAAAGCCUGACGGAGCAACGCCGCGUGAGUGAUGAAGGUCUUCGGAUCGUAAAACUCUGUUAUUAGGGAAGAACAUAUGUGUAAGUAACUGUGCACAUCUUGACGGUACCUAAUCAGAAAGCCACGGCUAACUACGUG